rnacentral:rRNA from 1 species
GACGAACGCUGGCGGCGUGCUUAACACAUGCAAGUCGAACGGAAAGGCCCUGCUUUUGUGGGGUGCUCGAGUGGCGAACGGGUGAGUAACACGUGAGUAACCUGCCCUUGACUUUGGGAUAACUUCAGGAAACUGGGGCUAAUACCGGAUAGGAGCUCCUGCUGCAUGGUGGGGGUUGGAAAGUUCCGGCGGUUGGGGAUGGACUGGCGGCUUAUCAGCUUGUUGGUGGGGUAGUGGCUUACCAAGGCAUUGACGGGUAGCCGGCCUGAGAGGGUGACCGGCCACAUUGGGACUGAGAGACGGCGCAGACGCCUACGGGAGGCAGCAGGGGGGAAUAUUGCACAAUGGGCGGAAGCCGGAUGCAGCAACGCCGCGUGCGGGAUGACGGCCUUCGGGGUGUAAACCGCUUUCGCCUGUGACGAAGCGGGAGUGACGGUAAUGGGUAAAGAAGCACCGGCUAACUACGUG